rnacentral:RNase_P_RNA from 1 species
CGAGGCGGCCGGAUGGUCGCACGCCACAUCGGGGCUUCGCCCCGUCAAGGGCGUGAGGAAAGUCCGAGCUCCGCAGCGCAGGGUAGCGGGUAACACCCGCCCGCCGUGAGGCGAGGAACAGUGCCACAGUGACGAUGCCGGCCGGCGGCGCAAGUCGCGGGCCGGAGUGAAACGGGCAAACUCUACCCGGAGCAAGGCCAAGUAGGAGGGCGCAACCCGGUUCGCCGGGGGAGAGGCGCGCUGCCCAGCCCUCGGGUCGGCCGCAAGAGCCGUCGGGUAACCGGCGGCCUCAGAUGGAUGGCCAUCGCCGCGGGCUCGCGCAAGCGAUCCCGGGGCACAGAACUCGGCUUACAGGCCGCCUCGCUGA